rnacentral:rRNA from 1 species
AACGUAGGACGCAAGCGUUAUCCGGAAUUACUGGGCGUAAAGCGCGUGUAGGCGGUUUGAUAAGUCACUGUUGAAAGCUCCCGGCUAAACUGGGAGAGUUCCGGUGAGACUGUCAGGCUAGAGUACGGGAGAGGGAUGCAGAAUUCCGGGUGUAGUGGUGAAAUGCGUAGAGAUCCGGAGGAAUACCAGAGGCGAAGGCGGCAUCCUGGCCUGAAACUGACACUGAGACGCGAAAGCAUGGGGAGCGAACGGG